rnacentral:tRNA from 1 species
CAGUAGAUAGUUUAAUAAAAUAUUAAUUUUGGAUAUUAAAGAUGAGUUUACUCUUUACUGA